CUUUAGGCUUGGGAGCCAGCGCCGGGUAAUCGAGUCUACCCGAUUCUCAAUGCCAGAGUCGGGGAGUCGACCCUGAUCUCUGGAGACUCGAGUACCAAGCGGCGGCGGUUCUGAGAUAAAGGGACUCGAGUCUUUGCCAUGCUCUCUCAUUCAUGGACGAAAAUCGGCCCCAGCGCCGACUCUCAGCGCCGAAUCCAAGCACUGAGAUAAAAUAAAUGUGGAAUUUGGAGCCGAAGAGUCACAUACUUCGAGCAGAAUGUUUCUCUGCUUGGAGCCUGCAGUAUACCGCGUGUAUUAGGCUCAGUGUGCAUGACUGCAUGUGGUAUGGAGAUGCAUCGUGUGCAUUGUGUGUACUGUGUAUGUGUGUGUAUGUGACUGUAAAAUGCCAGUAGAGACCACGUGCGUUGUGGUGAGCGACACUUGUGAUUGUAUCAUGAAAGUUAGUGUAUUGGGAUUUGUGUGUGGAAUGUGUGAGAAGUUAUGAAGGUGUAAGA